UGUACCCUGGGUUUAUUUUAACACUGAUUUUUAGGUUCCUGAGUGCCACCGUCUAAUGGUCACUGCAGCCAAACCUGUUCCUGACCUUCACAGCCCAACUAGUUCUUCCUUGUCCAUAAGCAUGAGGUCCAGCAGAGCAUCUCCCCAGUUUUGAGAUGCUUAGAAAUCUGGUGCCACAUAUGUUCAUGAAGUGCAACUCAUGGUGAAGUCCCCACUGCCACCAGCUGCUGGCCUUUGCAAAUUAUCCAUCUUGCGCAAUAAUUUUUAAGGAGCAGCAGCUGGAGUUGGUGAGGGCUGGGAGCUGUUAAGCUGGAAGCAGAAAAGGAUGUGUGUCCAUGGUCUUAUUCAUUAUUUUACUAUCCAAUUUCUACAAAAGCCAGGAGAUGUCUUCUUGUGAGAUAGCUACACUACCUAAAUUUGCUGUGGAGAACUUCAAAGCCAAAGUGAUUUAAAUCUCCAGAUAGACGGAAGAAGGUGUGCAGAGCCACCAGGCUAUACUCUCAUAAUGACUCAUGGAAAGUAUCUUUUGUAUGCAAAGGGUCUUGCGUGGGGGACACAGAAGA